rnacentral:rRNA from 1 species
UACGUAGGGUGCAAGCGUUGUCCGGAAUUAUUGGGCGUAAAGAGCUCGUAGGCGGUUCGUCACGUCGGCUGUGAAAACCUGAGGCUCAACCUCAGGCCUGCAGUCGAUACGGGCGGACUCGAGUUCGGCAGGGGAGACUGGAAUUCCUGGUGUAGCGGUGAAAUGCGCAGAUAUCAGGAGGAACACCGGUGGCGAAGGCGGUUCUCUGGGCAAUGACCGACGCUGAGGCGCGAAGGCGUGGGAAGCAAACAGG